UGGGGAAUUUUGGACAAUGGGCGAAAGCCUGAUCCAGCAAUGCCGCGUGUGUGGAGAAGGCCUUCGGGUUGUAAAGCACUUUUGUCCGGAAAGAAAUCCUUGGCUCUAAUACAGUCGGGGGAUGACGGUACCGGAAGAAUAAGCACCGGCUAACUACGUGCCAGCAGCCGCGGUAAUACGUAGGGUGCAAGCGUUAAUCGGAAUUACUGGGCGUAAAGCGUGCGCAGGCGGUUUGCUAAGACCGAUGUGAAAUCCCCGGGCUCAACCUGGGAACUGCAUUGGUGACUGGCAGGCUAGAGUAUGGCAGAGGGGGGUAGAAUUCCACGUGUAGCAGUGAAAUGCGUAGAGAUGUGGAGGAAUACCGAUGGCGAAGGCAGCCCCCUGGGCCAAAUACUGACGCUCAUGCACGAAAGCGUGGGGAGCAAACAGGAUUAGAUACCCUGGUAGUCCACGCCCUAAACGAUGUCAACUAGUUGUUGGGGAUUCAUUUCCUUAGUAACGUAGCUAACGCGUGAAGUUGACCGCCUGGGGAGUACGGUCGCAAGAUUAAAACUCAAAUGAAUUGACGGGGUCAUAGCUGUUUCCU
rnacentral:rRNA from 1 species